ensembl:rRNA 5S_rRNA 5S ribosomal RNA
GCUUACGGCCAUACCACCCUGAGAACGCCCGAUCUCGUCUGAUCUCGGAAGCUAAGCAGGGUCAGGCCUGGUUAGUACUUGGAUGGGAUUCCGCCUGGGAAUACCAGCUGCUGUAAGCU